CUACGGGCGGCACCAGUGAGGAAUCUUCCGCAAUGGGCGAAAGCCUGACGGAGCGACACCGCGUGGAGGAUGAAACCCCUUGUGGGCGUAAACUCCUGUUCUGAGGGACGAAAUUUUUGACGGUACCUCAGGAGAAAGCACCGGCUAAUUCUGUGCCAGCAGCCGCGGUAAGACAGAAGGUGCGAGCGUUACUCGGAAUCACUGGGCGUAAAGCGUCCGCAGGCUUCUCCGUACGUCUGGCGUAAAAGCUCGGAGCUCAACUCCGGGUACGUGCCGGAACCUGCGGGGAUCGAGCCACACAGGGGCACCUGGAAUGCCGUGAGUAGGGGUAAAAUCCGUUGAUCCACGGUAGAACGCCGAAAGCGAAGGCAGGGUGCUGGGUGUGCGCUGACGCUCAAGGACGAAAGCGUGGGGAGCGACCCGGAUUAGAUACCCGAGUAGUC
rnacentral:rRNA from 1 species